GGGAAUGCAAGGCUUCGAUGGCAGCACUUUUAUAAAAUCGCAAGCCGAGGAUAAUUCGUCACCUCGUCAAUCAUCGGAUUAAAACAUAUCUGCCAAAAACAGAUUAGCCAAUCACUUGGCUCCCGCUUUCGCUUUCGCUUAAGCGGCAUCGCUUAAUUGAAGCCUGAUAAAUCAAAGCGGUGUUAUAUUUUCAGGAUAUAUUUCAAUGUCCGCCGAAACAUUGAAAUGAAAAUUUUCGGCAAAGGAUUAUAAAGUUUUUCGCCUAAUUCAUACUUCAUAAUUCAUAAUUCCAAUUAGGACAAGCUUGUAGAAGUUUUAUAAAAUAGUUGCCAGAUGGGGCUUCAAUGCCCCCAUUUCCACAC
rnacentral:tmRNA from 1 species